AACGAAAUGCGAUAAGUAAUAUUACUGCCAGACUCCAGUCAAUCAUCGUUUCUUUGCGUUCUUCAUGCGCUCCAGAGCCAACGAGGAGCAUGCCGAAAGUAGUAUCAAAGUAUUCACAAUCCCCUAGGUCUUUUGUAAGACUCUUAUAAUAUUGGUCUUGGAGGCGAUCACCGGCAACUCACAGGACACAGGCCUCUCAAAUGCAUCAGAUUGAAUGAAAGGUGCACAGAGGUGUGAAAAUUAUCUGCACUGUGUGUGAGUGCCAUAAAUUCAGGCCACCCUGUGUCACAAGACAACUCAUAAGCUUCUGAC
rnacentral:rRNA from 1 species